UCACCCUAGCUAUACUCUUUUCUUUCUUUCUAUGUUCCCUUCUUUUUCCUGUCCUUUAUUUUGUUUGUUUGUUUUGAGGCAGCAUCUAGCUAAAUCAUUAAGUUCCCUGGGCUGUGCUUGAAUUUGGUAUCCUCCUGUCUCAGCCUCCCAGAAUAUUCAGGGAUUAUAGGCAUUCACCACUACAUCUGACAAGCUAUGCUCUCUUAGGCAACAGGGACACUGCCCUGGUUUCCUUGUCACUAAAUCUCUCUCCCACAUCUGGGGAAUACCUGAAUGUUUCUCAUAGUUUCCAAUUACAUUCCUAUGAGUCACUCUGCCUGUAAACUAUCCUGUCCUUUCUGAUUACAUGGACUUGGACAGGAAUGGAACAUUGGAGAGAAACGUCAGAGGGACCAUAGCUUGAGGUCGAAAGGUCAUUGCUUUUAGGAGUCAGGUUGGCAAAUCGCAUUAGAAUAAGAUGAUCGGAGAUGUAGGUCAUGUAUCUUCCCUUAUAGAGACUAAAAAUAAAAUAGUAAUGAAAUUAAAAAGUAAAACCACUGUAUGGCCAGGUAAAAUUAACCUGCAGUCAGGAAUAUCUACAUAUUUUAUAUUCUAAUCUCGUAUGUAAUUAUUCAACAAGUUGCCUCUCUCUCCAUUUACGUCCUUCCCUUGUUUAUUAGAAUUAGCAAAAAGCAGCAAACACUAUCCAUUGAAACCUCUUUUUCCCGCUAUGGAGUAGAGGAAUGAAUGGGCUUCUAAAAGGGACAAUAACUUAGCGCUGAAUGAGCUGUGAUGGCAUUCACACACUUGGUGGCCCCAGCUUUCAUCAGGAUGCCACAGCCAGGUUGGCAGGAAGCAAGCAGGCUCUCAGCGUCUAGAUGAGGAGCAUUUGGUAGCCUCUCCUUAUGCAGACCAUUCACUCCCCGCAGGGAGAGCGUACACAGCGUUGGGUUAGCAAUCUGAAGAAUGAAUUUUUUGUGCAAAGACAAAGAAUUGACUUGGCCAAGGUGUCCUGAGUUACAGUGGCUGGGAAGUCAAGAAAGGGUUAAGUUGAGGGAGGAAGCAUGGAAAAUUAGAAAAACUCCUGGCUUUUGAAAUCCUUCCCACUUUUUAAUCUCUUUCCAAAAGGAACUAAAAGCACUUCUUUUGCAGAGCUCUGAGGUAACUGUCAUGUAUAAGGAAUGCAGGGAAUGUUUGCCAUAUUUACAAUGUGGGCCACCAUGCGGGGUUACAACCAUAAGCACAGAAGAAUGUGGUUCCUGCCUUCAUGGAGUUUGCAAUCUGAGUAACUUGCAUGAUCAGUGACUGCGUGAUGGCAAGGUCUCAGCUCAGGAAAGAAUAAUAUUUCAUUUUCGUAAAGCAGCAAGUGUCUAACUGGUCCUCGUGUAUAUGGGGGUUUGGCAUAUGUGGGCUUAAACCAGGAAAUUUUAAAAGUAAAGCUUUUUUGUUUUA